GAUUUCUGGUUCGGCGUACUUGGCCCGCUCCGGUUUACGGGGUUGUGUGCCGGUGUGCGCCAUCCAUCCUUCGAGAAAUCAUUUCUGCCCUUCACUGGGUUGGAAGUGGAAUCUCGAUCUUUUACUUUGAAAAAAUUAGAGUGUUUAAAGCAGGCUUGCGGCUAUGAAUACAUUAGCAUGGAAUAAUAAUCUAGGACUUCGGUUCUAUUUUGUUGGUUUCUAUAACUGAAGUAAUGAUUGAUAGGGAUAGUUGGGGGUGCUAGUAUUGGCCGGCCAGAGGUGAAAUUCUUGGAUUCGGUCAAGACUAACUUAUGCGAAAGCAUU
rnacentral:rRNA from 1 species